rnacentral:rRNA from 1 species
UGGGGAAUAUUGGACAAUGGGGGCAACCCUGAUCCAGCAAUGCCACGUGUGUGAAGAAGGCCUGAGGGUUGUAAAGCACUUUUGUUGGGGAAGAAGUUGGCUAGGUUAAGAGCUAGGUCAAUUGACAUUACCCAAAGAAAAAGCACCGGCUAACUCUGUGCCAGCAGCCGCGGUAAUACAGAGGGUGCAAGCGUUAAUCGGACUUACUGGGCGUAAAGGGCGCGUAGGUGGAAAUUUAAGUCAGGUGUGAAAUCCCAGGGCUCAACCUUGGAAUGGCACUUGAUACUGGGUUUCUAGAGUAUGGUAGAGGGAAGGGGAAUUUCCGGUGUAGCGGUGAAAUGCGUAGAUAUCGGAAGGAACAUCAGUGGCGAAGGCGCCUUCCUGGACCAAUACUGACACUGAGGCGCGAAAGCGUGGGUAGCAAACAGG